rnacentral:rRNA from 1 species
UACGGAGGGUGCAAACGUUGCUCGGAAUCAUUGGGCGUAAAGCGCGCGCAGGCGGCUAUCCAAGUCAGUGGUGAAAGCCCGGAGCUCAACUCCGGAACUGCCAUUGAAACUGUUUAGCUUGAGGAUGAGAGAGGUGAGUGGAAUUCCCAGUGUAGAGGUGAAAUUCGUAGAUAUUGGGAAGAACACCGGUGGCGAAGGCGGCUCACUGGCUCAUUACUGACGCUCAGGCGCGAUAGCGUGGGGAUCAAACAGG